rnacentral:rRNA from 1 species
UACGUAGGGGGCAAGCGUUAUCCGGAAUCAUUGGGCGUAAAGCGCGUGUAGGCGGUUCAGUAAGUCCGCUCUGAAAGCCCAGGGCUCGAACCCUGGGAGGCGGGUGGAUACUACUGGACUAGAGUACGGAAGAGGAGAUUGGAAUUCCUGGUGUAGCGGUGAAAAUGCGCAGAUAUCAGGAGGAACACCAAUGGCGAAGGCAGCUCGCUGGGACGUGACUGACGCUGAGACGCGAAAGCGUGGGGGAUCAAACAGG